AUAAACUGUUGUAUAUAUUUGUAUUUCUCUUUUUCUCCAAAAAAAAAAACACCCCUACAUCGUUUUAAUUCGGGCUUUUUAUAGACACUGUACAUAGUAUUUUACAUAUUUAAUGUUAUUUCCUGCCAUAUUUGUGUUGCCUCUGUCGUUCUUCUUUCCCCUUUUGCAGGUACCAGCGAGGAGAUUUAGCAAUGAACGAACGCUGACAACGGCACACCGGCGUUGAUUCGGGCGUCGACCACGGCAUGAUUCAAAGCCUGGAAUCAUGGCCUGGAACCACGGCACUAAUAAUGGGUAACUGGAACGACGCGAGACGAACAGACGCGUUGAUUGAAGUGUUUGCGGCGCCUAGGGUUUCUAAAACCCUAGGUCUUUCGCCCUUGGCUUACAAUUUGGGCCACUUGGGCUUCUCUAAGUUGGGUAAGGGUGUAACGGGUUAGUGGGUUUAGGUAUAACCGGGUGUGGGCUUAUUGGGUUGUAACCGGGCAUAGGGUUUUAGGUUAAAUGGGUCUUGUAUCAUCAAGCCUUUAGGCCCAUUUGUAAACUGGACAUUUCAACAUGGAGAUUUAUUUAUUUAAUUUACAAAUUUUGUUUAUUUCAUUGUACGGGCCCGGGUGAAUUUGGGCUGUUACAGCUGCCCCUCUUUGCUUAUUACUGUGUAACAGGAGUAGAGUAAAGAUUAUAAAAGGACCUAAUUUGUCCGGCCCAGCCAAGUCUCGAAAUCUUGAUCCUCAUCUUUAGGUAUUCUGAUAGCUUUGGGAAUGUCAAAUUGGCUAUCUUCAACCUACUUCUUGCAAACUUAGGAAUACCAAAUCUGUUAACUUCGAUCUGCUCUCAGACACUACAAAAACGCCAGAUCUGCUAUCUUCGAUCUGCUCUCUGAUAAAACAGAGACGCCAAAUCUGUUAUCUUUGAUCUGCUCUCUGACAAUACAAAGACACCAAAUCUGCUAUCUUUGAUCUACUCUCUGAAAAAAUAGAAAAGCCAAAUCUGCUAUCUUCGAUCUGCUCCUUGUGAGCGCAAGGAUGCCAAAUCAUCUUGGAUUUGCUUUGAUGCAAAAACAUCCGAAGGUUAGAUCUGCUAUGUCUUCGAUCUGCUUUCCGUCGAAUAUGGAGAUGCCAAAUCUAUUUUUUCGAUUUGUUCUCUGACAAUACAGAGAUGCCAAAUCUGCUAUCUUCGAUCUUCCCCUUGUAAGCGCAAGGAUGCCAAAUCAUCUUGGAUCUGCUUCGAUGCAAAAACAUCCGAAGGUUAGAUCUGCUAUGUCUUCGAUCUGCUCUCCGUCGAAUAUGGAGAUGCCAAAUCUGUUUCUUCGAUUUAUUUUCUGACAAUACAGAGAUGCCAAAUCUGCUAUUUUUUAUCUGCUCUCUGACUAUACAGAGAUGCCAAAUCUGCUAUCUUUGAUCUGCUCUCUGACUAUACAGAGAUGCCAAAUCUGCUAUCUUUGAUAUGCUCACUGACAAUACAGAGAUGCCAAAUCUGCUAUCUUCGAUCUGCUCCCUGACAAUACAGAGACGUCAAAUAUGCUAUCUUUGAUCUGUUCUCUGACUAUACAGAGAUGCCAAAUCUGCUAUCUUUGAUCUGCUCUCUGACUAUACAGAGAUGUCAAAUCUGCUAUCUUUGAUCUGCUCCCUAACAAUACAGAGACACCAAAUCUGCUAUUUUUGAUCUGCUCUCUAACUAUACAGAGAUGCCAAAUUUGCUAUCUUUGAUCUGUUCCUUGUAAACGCAAGGAUGCCAAAUCAUCUUGGAUCUACUUUGAUGUGAAAACAUCCAAAGAUUAGAUCUGCUCUAUCUCCGAUCUGCUCUCCGUCGAUUAUGAAGAUGCCAAAUCUGUUUCUUCGAUUUGUUCUUUGACAAUACAGAGAUGCCAAAUCAUUUUGGAUCUGCUUCAGUGUAAACACGUGAAAGCCAAAUCUGCUAUGCUUUAGCCUGUUACCCUACUGCUUAGGGGGUUAAGGCGCAUCAAUCUUCAUUGUCCCUUGAAGGACAUAACCUGUAUAAUGUGUAUGAGUUCAUGCCUAAUGAUUAGGAUGCUAUGAUCGAAGUGAGUCAAAUGCUCCUAAUUAAACCUGUUAUAAUGCAAAAUGUUUAUGAAUAUGACCCCUAUUCUAGACAUCACCACCCAUUCCUUCGUCGAAGUUUAUCCUUAUUUUUCUCUAAGUAUCAUUCCUACUCAGCCUGUGGGUUCGUACCAUUCUUCAAAUACUAUGACCCACCAAAAAUGUUUGUAAGAUGAUCCUCUCUUAGGAUCGAAUCGUUUGAUUUGUCCAAUCAUCAUUUUAGACUAAAAAAAAAAUUUCCUCGAGUUCUUUCAAACCUUACUUACGUGAAUUCCUCAAACAAUUGUUUUGUUUUAGUUUCUUGUAUUAUCUAAAAAUUUCCAGAGUAAUGAGUAAAACUUCAUUUAUGAAAAUUAUUUAGUUCAUCUAUCAUUAUUUAAUGCAACAUACUUUAAGGAUAAUGGAAGAUGAAUUCAAUCUUGAGAAUAAUGAGAUUUGAAUGAAUUUGUCAAAAAUACAAAGGAAAUUAAUCUGAUACCCUAUCUUUGAGAAGAAAGAGAAUCUAAAGAUAGCAAACAGGACAAAAGUUAGAUGCCCUAGAUAUCGCCGCUUGAGCAUCUGUUUACCAGCUCCAUGAAAGCUUUCUUGAGUUCAACAUGUGUUUAAGAGAUCCAAAGUACUUUGUUGAUGCCCCGGUAUGCAACGGGCUUCGCUCUUUGUUAAGUCAGAUAUAGCAAGAUUACUGAGUACUCUUCAAAAUUUGAGCCGCCCUUUCGGGUUUUCAACUCAAAACCCCUUUGGUCACAAGGCACCCUUUGCGGGUUUUCACCUUGGCCUCUCCAUUUUUUUUUGAAAACUCAAGGUGCACUUUGUGAGUUUUUACCCUGGAUUCUCCUUUCCUUUAGACAAAGUACUUUUUGACUGAGUCUAAAUUCACUGGAUUGGGUAAACUCUUCCCAUACAUUUCUGUUAAGAUCAAUGCACCCCCAGAGAAGGCCUUCUUCACGACAUAUGGCCCUUCCCAAUUCGGCGUCCAUUUUCCUCUAAAGUCCUUCUGAAUAGGAAGGAUCUUUUUCAGCACAAGAUCCCCCUCGUGGAAUUCUCUUGGUCGCACUUUCUUGUCGUAAGCUCGCAUCAUUCGCUUCUGAUACAUCUGACCUUGACGAAUGGCCCUUAGCCUAUUUUCCUCAAUCAAGUUCAACUGAUCAUAUUGCGAUUGUAUCCAUUCAGGCUCAUCCAACUUUAUCUCUGACAAGACUCAAAGAGACGGUAUUUCUACUUCAAUGGGUAAUACUGCUUCCAUCCCAUAAACCAACGAGAAAGGAGUUGCCCCAGUAGAUGUUCUGACGGACGUCCGGUAGGCUAAGAGUGCGAAUGGUAAUUUCUCAUGCCAAUCUCGGUAGGUUUCAGUCAUCUUCCCCACUAUCCUCUUGACGUUCUUGUUAGCUGCUUCUACUGCCCCAUUCAUUUUUGGGCGAUACGGAGAAGAAUUAUGAUGCUUAAUCUUAACUGACUGCAAACUUCUGCUAUCGUUUUGUUGUUCAAGUUCAAUGUAUUGUCUGAUAUGAUCCUUUCAGGCAUCCCAUACCGACAAAUGAUCUCUUUCUUCAAGAAUCGACUCACAGCUGACUUAGUAACAUUCUCAUAAGAAGCAGCCUCUACCCACUUCAUGAAGUAAUCAAUGACCACAAAAAUAAAGCGAUGCCCAUUUGAAGCUUUUGGUGAUAUUGGCCCAAUGACAUCCAUGCCCCACAUGGAAAAAGGCCAUGGAGAAGUAAUAACAUGUAGAGGUGAAGGUGGUACAUGAAUCUUGUCUCCAUAAAUCUGACAUUUAUGGUAUUUCUUGGUGUAGUUGAUACAAUCCCCUUCCAUAGUAGACCAAUAAUAUCCAAACCUCAUGAUUUGUCUAGCCAUUGUGAAACCAUUAGCGUGCGUCCCACAAACACCCUCGUGAACUUCUUCCAAGAUUAACUUAGCUUUCACGACGUCAACACAUCUCAGCAGUACUUAGUCCUUUCUUCUUUUGUACAAGAUGUCCACAUCCAAAACGUAGUUGCAGGCUAAUCUCCUUAAAGUUCGCUUAUCAUUUUUAGUUGCCUAUUCUGGGUAUUUACGAUCUCUCACCUAUCGCAAUAUAUCCUGAUACCAAGGGUUAUCAUCUUUUUCUUCUUCCUCAAUGUUACAAUAGCGAGCUGGAGCCUCAAAGAUACUCAUCUAAAUGGGUCUCAUCUCCUCUUUUUUAUUCGCUUUAAUCAUUGAAGCCAAGGUCGCUAGAGCAUCUGCUAUCUGGUUUUCAUCUAGUGGGAUAUAAUUGAAAGUGAUGUCAUCGAACUCCUCAAGUAACCCCAAAACUACCUUUUGAUUAUUGAUCAAUUUAGAAUCCCUUGUCUCCCAUUCACCUCUAAGCUGGUAAAUUACCAACGCAGAGUCUCCAUAUACUUCCAAAGUUCUUAUUCCUCACUCUAUAGCUGCUCAGAGUCUCAUGAUGCACACUUCAUAUUCGGACAUAUUGUUUGUGCAAUCAAAAUCUAACUUGCACGUGAAUGGAUAAUGAUCACCAUUUGGGGAUACCAAGACUGCCCCGAUUCUAUUUUCCACUGCAUUGGAUGCGCCGUCAAAAUUCAGCUUCAAUGUACGUUCUUCAAUAGUUGCCACAUACAUCAAAUCCUCAUUAGGGAAAUCAAAGUUUAAUGGCUCAUAAUCUUCUAGAGCUCUACUUGCCAGAAAUUCUGCUCUCGCACUCCCUUUUAUAGCCUUUUGACUCACAUAAACUAUGUCAAAUUCUGAAAGCAAUAUUUGCCACCUUGCCAUUCUUCCAUUUAAUGCUGUUGACUCCAUCAUGUACUUUAAUGGAUCAAGUUUUGAAAUUAGCCAAGUCGUAUGAUAUAACAUAUAUUGCCUCAAUCUUCGAGUCGUCCAGAUUAAAGUACAACACAAUUUCUCAAUUGGUGAAUAUCUCAUCUCACACUCUGUGAAUUUCUUGCUGAGGUAGUAUAUUGCCCUCUCUUUUCUUCCUGACUUGUCAUGUUUGCCAAGCACACAUCCCAUAGAUUUACUAAACACUGAUAAGGACAUAAUUAAUGGUCUAUCUGGACUAGGCGGAGAUAACACUGAAGCAUUUAACAAGUAUUGCUUGACCUUAUCAAAAGCAUUCUGGCAUUCCUCAUCCCAAGUACCUUGGUUGUGUUUUCUAAGGAGGCGAAAUAUAGGAUCACAUUUUUCGGUUAAUUGUGAAAUAAAUCGAGCAAUAUAAUUCAAUCUUCCAAGAAAACCCUGAACUUCCUUUUAAGUACGUGGCAGAGGCAAUUCUCGUAUGGCUCUAACUUUGUCUGAGUCAACUUUUAUUCCUUUUUCGUUGACCACAAAGCCUAGUAAUUUCCCCGACCUAGCUCCAAAAAUGCAAUUUGCUGGAUUAAGUUUUAAUUGAAACUUCCGUAAUCUCAGAAAUAGCUUCCUCAAAACUUCAAUAUGUUCCUCCUCCGUUCGAGAUUUGGCAAUCAUAUCAUCAACAUACACCUUAAUUUCUUUGUGCAUCAUAUCAUGGAAUAAGGUCACCAUAGCCCUUUGGUAUGUUGCCCCGGCAUUCUUCAACCCAAAGGGCAUUACCUUGUAACAGAAUGUGCCCCACAAUGUUAUGAAGGUCGUUUUAUCCAUAUCUUUAGGAUGGAUCUUUAUUUGAUUGUACCCCGAGAAAUCAUCCAUAAAGGAGAACAACGAAUAUCCGGCUGUACUAUCUACCAAAUGUCAAUGUGUGGUAAAGGAAAGUUGUCCUUUGGGCUAGCUUUAUUCAGAUCUCUGUAAUCAAUACACAUUCGUACCUUCACAUCUUUCUUAGGAACAGGCACAAUGUUAGCCACCCAUUCUGAAUACUUAACCUCUUGUAAGAAUCCAGCAUCAAACUGUUUUUUGACUUCAUCUUUUAUUUUUAGCACAAUAUCAGGCCUCAUCCUCCGCAAUUUUUGUUGGACUGUCUUACAAUCUUGUCUUAUGGGGAGAUGAUGUACCACAAUAUCAGUAUUCAAACUUGGCAUAUCUUGAUAAGACCAUGCAAAGAUAUCCUUGAACUCACGCAAGAACUCAAUCAGUCCUUGCCUUGUGUCCUUGGCAAUACGCGUGCCGAUUUUCACCUCCUUCCCUUCCUCUAGGGCUAUAUUCUCUAUUGCCUCUUUCUCAUGGGGCAUGAUUUGUUUCUCUUCCUGUUUUACCAUCCUUAACAGAUCCGGAGACACAUCACAAUCCUGGACAUCUUCAAAAUCCUGAGAUUCCUCUAAACACAUGUCUUGCUCGCGAGAGAAAUCAGGAUUUGUAAUAUGAGUGCUCAUGUCAUUGAUAUCUAGGGACCUGUGAAGUAUAAAGAAUAUACAAAGAAUGAAUGAAUUUAAAAAUGAUUAUUUAUGUGCUAUGAAUGAAAGAAUAAGAAUUGCAAAAAUUUAACGGAAUAUUGGUUGAUAAAAAUGAAACAAUACUCGUUCAAAUUGAUAAAAGUUAUGUUUUAUUUAAAAAAAUAAUAGAUGAUUGUAAGCCCAUUCCACAAAUGUAAUCCUAUUACUCCUAGGCCCUAGAGUAACAAGAAUGUUCCGAGAAUUACUGUGAAAUAUUCCUAAAGACUACAGGAAGUUUCUCCGCAGUCCAAUUGUUCAGAGAGCUUCCCGGUUCGUAAGGGCGAAUGCCCUCAAGGUUUCCUUGCUCCAAUCCUUCAUCAUGUAUAGCAUUAAUCUGAUGACUUUCUUCUAUAAGUAACCCUCUUGAUAUAAAGACUUGGGAUAUUGGAGGGAAUGUCAUCGGCUCCCACUCCACUUCUCUUCCAUUAAAGCGCGCCCUUCUUCCCUCUUGGCACUUCUCAACUUCUUCAUCCUUUGCUUAUAAUCUGGCUUGAAGCCCAGACCAAAGCGAUCUUUCUUCUCUUUCAGUUCUGGGAUUUGAGUCCCUCAUUGCAGGUAUUUUCCUAACCCUCUUCCUGGUAAGUCUCCCUUUCCCACCAUCAUUUGUAGAGCCAUCCUCGUAGCUCUUGCUAUCUUUGGCACCUUUGGCUCACUCCCUUCUGAAAUGAAGGUUGCAUUCGCCAAUUCUAAAGAGUGAAAAGAACACUCAAUAGACUCUUCAUUCGUCUCGACAUAAGAGGCCUUGCUAGUGACUGCGACUAUAAUGUCCUCCUCCGUAUUAAUGGUUACUAACCGUCCAUCCGUCACUAACUUUAAUUUCUGGUGCAACGAUGAGGGCACUGCUCCCGCUGAAUGCAUCCAUGGCCUCCCUAAUAAGCAAUUGUAGGAGGGCUUGAUAUCCAUCACCAAGAAGUCUACUUCGUAUAUACUUGGCCCAAUUUCCAAGGGGAUGUCAAUUCUUCCCAUCACUUUCCUUUCUGUACCGUCGAAGGCUCUUACCAUAUUUUGACAUGUCUUCAUGUGAGAACUUUCAAUGGGUAAUCUAUUCAACGUAGCCAACGGUAGAACAUUCAAGGCCAAUCCAUUAUCGACGAGCACACUUGGAAGUGUGUACCCCUUGCAUCGAAUGGUAAUGUGCAAAGCCUUAGUUGACCCUCUGCCCCCUAGUGGGAUUUCAUCAUUAUUAAAGUAGAUGAAAUUAUCAGCACUUAUGUUAUUCACCAACCGGUCCAGUUUGUUAACGGAUAUGUCAUGAGUGACAUAUGUUUCGUUGAGCACAUUCAUCAAUGCAUCCCGAUGCAUCUCAGAAUUCAGAAGUAGAGCCAAUAUUGAUAUGCGAGCCGGCUGCCUACGCAACUGCUCAACCACACUAUACUCGCUAUGCUUAAAGAACUUUAGAAAUUCCUUAGCCUCCUCCUCCUUUACUGGCUCCUUGACAGGCACUUUGGCCUCUUUCUCCUUCUCUGCACUAACAUUAUUUAUUUUUGUGGGCUCCUCUCUAACGCCCACUGUAUCAUACUGCUUCCCACUCCGUGUAUGGGAACCCUCAACUUGUACAUCUUUAGACGUGCUGGCUAUAUUCUCCUCCUCCGGCACUGUCACACUGCAGUCAUUGCUCCAUGGUACCCUCUUGCUAUCCUUAUAAGGGAAAGGCGUAGGCUUAUGGAUAAUGACCUUAGGCUCCAUUUGUGCCCCCACUUCAUUAUUCCCCAGCAGGGAAAUAAUAAUCCUUGGCCGACUAUCUCCUUUCUGUUUAUCCUCCAGCACACAUACUUGUUUUUCACAAGACCUACCUUCAAAAAUUUGUAGUUCUUUGUUGUCUAUAAAGCCUUGCACCAAGGCCUUGAAUUCUUCACAAUCUUGAACUUCAUGUCCUUUUUUCUCAUGGAACUCACCAUAGUUCAUUGUUUCUCUUCUCUCGUUUUUAGAGGUUAACAUACCUCUCUUCAUCAUCUCCUCCUAAAUCACCUUCAUAGGUAUCCUCACCUCAGCAACAUCUUCCUUCAUUCUUCUCUCACUGGCUUCGCUAAUGGCAUUCACUCCUUGAUCGCUAUGAUUUGACAAUGGGUUUUCAGGAUUAGGGGUAUUGUCGAACUUCACUACCCCCAUCUUAAUAAGCCUCUCUAUGGCCUUCUUAAAACCGGUAUAGUUUUCGAUCGAAUGCUACGGUAUUCCAGCAUGAUAUUCGCAUCUGGCGUUUGCGUCAUACCAUUUGGGAUAUAGGGGCUGCAAUGGUUUCAAGUGAAAAGGAGAAAUAGCAUGUGCAUCGUAUAAGCUUUGAUAAAGCUCACGAUACGUCAUAGGGAUAGGUGUGAACUACAUCCUUUCAGAAUUCUACCUUGUAUACGAUUCCUGCCUUUGAGAACUCUGUUGCUCAACCGCAGCUGUUUUAGGUUGACCAACUGUGAUUGCCUUCGUGUUGAAGGUGCUUGUGUUAUUCACUUCACUAUCCUUUCUCCUUGGAGCCGAUCUUUUGGUCGCUUCCCCCUCGAUUUUGCCAUCCCUUAUGGCAUUCUCGAUCAUCUCUCCCACCAUGACUAUAUCCGCGAAGCUUUUAGUGGUGCUCCCAAUCAUGUGAGCGAUGAAUGGAGCCUUUAGAGUGUUGAUGAACAACAUGGUAGUCUCCUUUUCCAACAACGGUGGUUGAACUUGUAUUGCCACCUUUCUCCAUCUCUGUGCAUAUUGCCUAAAAUUUUCAUUAGGCUUUUUCUCCAUGUUUUGCAACGUGAUCCUAUUCGGAGUCAUGUCAGUCACAUGAUUGUAUUGCUGCAUAAAGGCUUGUGUAAGAUCCCUCUAUGAACUUAUUCUGGCCCGGCUCAGUUGAUUAUACCACUUGGCUGCUGCUCCAAUUAAACUAUCUUGGAAACAGUGGAUCAACAGUUGAUCAUUAUUCACGUACCCAGUCGUCCUCCUACAGAACAUCUUAAUGUGGGCUUCUGGGCAAGUAGUCCCAUUGUACUUCUCAAAUUCUGGCAUCUUGAAUUUGUGAAGAAGCACCAAGUUUGGGACCAAGCUUAGAUCUUUGGCAUCAACUCUAUAAUGCCCAUCAGCAUUCUCUAAAGCCUUGAAUUUUUACUCCAACCAUUUGCAGCGUUCUUCUAACUGUCUUGCAGCCUCAAUUCUAAAAUCCUCUUUUUCAGCCAUGUCUAAGUCAAGAAUGAUAGGAUUUGCAGGAUUGUCGCCCAAAUUAAAUCCUGAACCAGUUGGGAAAUUUAUAGGGAUCCCAGCAUCGACUGACCCUUGUUGAGGCCUUAUAGUGACAGACGGCCUCCUAUGAAGUACCUUGGUUGGUGCAAGCACAUGGGGUGGGGUGAAACCUGGAGGAUGAUCCUCACCAUCCUCGCCAGUAAUUGUCAUGGGAGCCUUUCCCUUAUCAGUGGCCCUCAGUAGUUGAGCCAUCUCAGCCAUCAUGUUCCUUUGAGCCUCCAACAUUUGCUCCCUCAUGUCAUUUUGCAUUUUUUCCAAUUGCUCUUGCAAUUGGUCCUACAUGUCCUUCUAUAGCUGUUCAAAUCUUUGGUCCAUAUUUUUUGACUUAACGCGCGUACCGUAGGGAUGUGUUGCUUCCAGAUUUUCUUUCUCUUACUCUCUUUCUCCCUUUUAAUUUUAACUAAUUAUGGUCUUUCUAUAAACUUGAAUGCAUAUGAUGUGAUGAGAUGCAAAUGCAUGAAUGUAAAAAAUGUCGAUUUUGGUUCAGUUUCAUUUUAGAAAAUGUUAUUUAAGGAACAAGAAUCUUUUCAUAAAACAGAUUACAAAUACGCUUUCGCCCGUAGGCCUAGAGUCUUAACCCUAUCUAAUAACAAUGCUAACUCUCGUCCUCUGUCUGACGACGACUCAUACAUUAUACUCAGCGUUCUAGCUUGUACCGCCAAAUCCUGCAAGUGUUCAAUAACCUCUCGAAUCUGAACUAAAGCUUCUCCCAUGAGAUAAUCCCUAUUUCCAACUUGAUCCAGAAGAUGGCGAAGUUCUCCCUUCCACUGUACUUCUCUUGCCCCGAGCUGCUCAAUCCGUAGCUCACAAUCCUGUAGUGCUGCUUCCAACCCUCCAAUAUCGUGUUUCAUUUCCUCGAUCUUAUUCAAGCUUGCCUUUAACUCGAUCGCAGAGUUACGACUUCGGUGAUGAUGAAGAGAUCGUCCAAGUUCGGCCACCUUAGUUUUUAAUCCUUGAUUUUCUUUCUCUAGGGCCUGAUUACGCGACUGCAUCUCUUAGAACUUCUUCUCCCAAUACUCGACCUUGGCUAUUUCUUCCUGAAUCUUUUGCUGCCACUGCUCUGAAGAUCUCCCUAAUCCGUCCCUUUUCAACGUUACCUGAGCCUUCUUGUAGUGCGUCUUUAAAUCAUCUCGAUCUUCCUCGAUCUUUCUCUUUUCCUUUUUCACCUUCUCGACUUCCAUCUUUUGAACAUCGAUGUUGACACUCAAGCUCAUUUUUUCUUCUUUGAGCUUUUCAAUCCUCUUUUCAAGCUCUGAAUUUUUUCUCUCGAACUCUUGCUUCAUAACCUCCAACUCUGAUGGAAUCACUCGUAAGCUCUCCUCUAAUGACCGGGCCACCCCCAAAAUCGGCCUAGGGAUAUUAUCGUUAACUCUCCUACUAAACCACCCUUUAUACUCAAGGGAUGACGUCGAGCCUUCGGUCAAGAUCUUCAUAAAGAAAGGCUUCUUCCAAGCCUCAAAAAUCUCUCGCAUCCUCCUCUUAUAGUGAUCUCCCUUAUAAGAGAAAUCACUCUGAGCUAAACCCUGUGUAGCCGGUAUGAACUUCUUCGCUAGAUAUUGCCUUAGAACAAGUAAUGGUACAUAUCCAACCACUCCCCAAAUUCCUGGCAAAGGGACCCAAUCAAAACUGCCACAGCGGUAAAGUAUUUCAUUAGGAACCAACCAAGGAGCCUUCCACAUAACAUCUUCCUCUCGAAGAUUCUGAAGAAUGUCUAUCCACCUCUCCUUCGAAAUUUCAUCUCUCCUAGGCAUUUCUAGUGCUUCCUUUAAGGGAGAAUAACCCUCAAAGAAUACUCGGCAAGGAACCUUAUUAAGCUUCCAGAAGUGGCUAUGGAGCCAGACUAGCAACAAUUGCGCACAUCCAAUAAAUCUACCCUCGCUGGCCCUCUGACAUGCACUCAAAGAUCUAAGUGUCUCAGCUAGGAUUGCUGGUACCGGUGUAUUCUGCUUACCGACACGAUUGUACAAAUCUACCACUGUCUCAUCUAUGUGCCCCAACGGCUUUAGGAAAAUCACCAUGCCGUAAAUACUCAAAGCUAGGACGUCAACCCUUUUCUUUAUGUUUGGAUGUAUCGAUAUCAAAUCCCUCAAAACAGCCCAUAAAACGCACUUACUAUCACAUUUUUGCUGUACACGAGCUACAGCCCACUGCUCACUCAUCCCAAUAAUCAUCACCAACUUCUUUGCAAAAGUUGGAAGACUAGCAGGCCUAACAUAAGCCUUGUGACCCUGAAUCCUCGGGCAACGCAGUAAAGUCGUAUACUCCUCCAAAGUAGGUACAAGAUCAACAUCACCAAAUGUAAAGCAACUAUAAGCAGGGUUCCAGAAUUGUACCAUAGCUCGAAACAAGUGCCUAUCUACUUUGACGUCUAGCAAAUAGGGAAGGUCUCCAUAAUUCUGAUAGAAAAGCUGCUUAGCCUCGUCAUCCCAUUGGGCCCAAAUGUCUCUCAACUCCUGAAACUCAUUCUGCGUCGAACUAAUACGGGUGAAGUCCCAUAACUCUAACGUAUGCCCCUCAGUGACACUGUCUCCUUUCUCUAACUGGGUUUUCUCUGACCAGGUACAGACAGAGGAUUGUCCUCCACUUUAUUAAGAUAUUCGUUCCCCAUUACAAAACUUUCUAACUGAGAAAUCGAACCGUGAAUCGAUAUCUUUUGCAUGACAUGCAAUGAUAGCAAAAUAAAAUAGGUCAGUAUCAUAUAUAAGAAAUGAUAAACAAGUACUUACAAGGGUAACUUACUAAAGGCUAUCACUAUUUUCCCUAGGGUAAGCACUUAAGGUUCACUAUAUGAGUUUCAGUUCUAAAGCGAGGGUACCUGAACCAGCAGAUUCCUCGGUCCUCACCCAUUAUAGGCUCAUAUAGACCAAGUUCAGCUCAGGGGAACACAUUUCCCUAUGGCCAUGCGGAGAUGAAAAUCUCACGAAGACAUAGGUACAGUAUCUCGGAAGCAAUCCACUAACUCAUGCGGAGGUGAAAACCUCACGAAAGCUUAGUUUCUUACUCCCACUUAAAGGUGUGACCAACGGUCAUGAAAAUGCAAUGUGCGAAAUCAACAUAUGCAACAUACACUUGUAAAAUGAUCAAUCUUUUAAAAUUUUCCAAAUUUUUGACAUUAAGACACAAAAACUCAAUUUCUUGGCUUGACUCUCUUAUAAGUCCCUAGUGGAGUCGCCAAGCUGUCGAAACCUCUUUUGAAAUUGGGGAGGGUAUUUUGAAAACGAGAGUCGCCACCAACCUUUUAAAGUGUGAUUGGAUCAUUUUAUAAAACGUUUUGGUCUACGAAAUUACGAGAAAAUAGGUUCAGGAAUCAGUUACGCACGAGGAAGGAUUAGCACCCUCGUAACGCCCAAAAUUGGUACCAAAUUGAAUAAUUUUGUCUUAAUGUCAAAAGUUUAAAAGAAUUUAGAAAUAAGAUCUCUUUAAAACUGUAAUAAUUUGAAUUAGAAUAGAAUCAAGAUUCUGUGGCUUCGAAAGAAUAUAAACAUCAUAUCCAGCAUGAUUGGACAUGAUAUUUUUAACUUUUGUAACUAAAAUCAUCUUGUAAUUUUCAAAACUUAUUUAGAAUGAUAUUUUAGGUAUUUAGACAAAUAGGAAAUCGCAACCCAGCAUGUUAGGGCACUACCUCCAGAAUUCCUAAAUACCAAAAACAUUGCCUUAUUUUUUUAAAAAAUCUUUUGGAUCGAAUGAAAUAUAAAAGUUCUUUUAAAGUGAUGAUGCAUUUGUCAUAUUACAAAGGAUCAAUAUUAACCUACAUGAUACUUAUUUUAACAUUUCAUGCAAAUAUUAGAAAGAUGAAUAAUGGCAUAAAUUACACAAUAUACGUUAUUAUCUUAUGCAUAUAUGAUCAUAAAUAACAUAAAUGUACAUGCAUUAUCGUUACAUGCAAAAUACAACGUAGAACAUAAUGAAUACAACAAAUAUAAAUUACAAUAUAUAUGAUGAUAUUUUAUGCAAAUGUAACUUAAAUUAACAUAAAUAAUUAAUUUCAUGCGAAUAUAUAAAAACAAUAACAUAAAAUAACAAAUAAUCUAUGAAAAUUUAACCUACUAAAACAAUAUCAAAAUAAAAGAAAAAAAAAGCAAAUUAUAAACAUAUAAAAUAUAAAUCAAAUGGAAUAAAAAUACAGAUAUUUAAAAAUAUUUAAAAUAAUAUAAGAAUGAUAAAGGAGAACCCUUUUUUUUUAAAAAGAAAAUGAUUAAUAUAUAAAUCAUGUUACAGAAUAUAAUAACUUAAUAUAUAUUAAAAAAAUAAUGUACUAAAUAGUAAUAUUGCACAUAUUUAUUUAAUAAAAAAACAUCUGUAGUUAAUGAGUAAUAAAAUAAUGUAUAUUUUAUAAUAAAAAUAAAAGUAAUGUAAGGAAUAAUAUAUGGUAAAAUAUAUAGCAUAUAAUAAAAUUUAUAAACAAAGUAUAUAAUAAUAUAACCAUAUGAUAAGUAAUAUAUAAAAAAUAUAUAUAUAUAAAAUGUAUAUAAUAUAAUAUAUAAUAAAAGGAAGAUAUUAUAAGGAAUAAUAUAUAAGAAAAUAUAAUAUGUAAUAAUAUAUAAAUAAAAUAUAACGAAAUAUAAAUACUAUCAUAUAAGUGAGGAUAAUAUAUAUACUAUUAUUUAAUAAUAUUUUUUUAAAGAUUUAAAAUUUACACAAUUAAUGAAUAAUAAUACAUAAUUUAUAAAUAAAUAUAAAAUUGAAAAAGGAAAAAAUGUAAGAAAUAAUAUAUAUAGUAAAAUAUAAUGUAUGAUAUAAUUUAUAAAUAAAAUUUAUAAUAAUAAAAAUAAUAUAAUGGAUAAUAUAUAUAAUAAAAAUAAUAUGUUAUUUUAUAUAACUAAUAUUUAUAAAAAUAAUAAUAUAUAAAGUAUAUAAUAAAUAAAUUAUGCAAAAAAUAUUUAAAAGGAUUGAAAUUAAAUAAAACUAAAGUUCUAGGGCUGAUUUUAAAAUAAAAAAAAAGUGCAGGCCUAAUUGGAACGCGUUCAACACUACAAGGGACUCACUAGGCAAUUUUCCCUAAUCCCAAAACGACGUCGUUCUUCAGAAUGAAUUUUAAUGGCCGUUAGGAUUAAAUUGAAACAAAUAUAAAAGAUUAGGGCCGAAUUAAAAUAAAAAUAAAAUGAAAUUAUAAAGAUUAAAAAUGAGGAAGGACCAAUUGGGAGAUUAUCCCUUUUCCCAAAACAUGCGGAUCCUCCCCGGGUCUCGGGUCAACGCGCGGAUCCCAGCUUAAACGAUGCCGUUUUGGUACUUAUCAGAUUAAGUAAAACGACACCGUUUUAAUUACACUAUUUAAGUCAAUUUUCGGCCCAAAAAUUCAUUUUAGGAAACUGUUUUAAAAAAAAAAUUUGAAAACUCUCUGAAAGAGAGGAGAGGGCAGUCCUCCGGGCUCCGGUCUCCGUCGGGCCAAGCCCCGGUCAUCGGACUCACGCGCCCAUGCGCUGUCACCGACUUCGCCGUAUACGACUGCCGGAAGUUGAAAAACUUCCAUUUUUGUGCACAUUCAACGGUAAACGCUCCUUUCUUUUAUUUCUAUAACAUUUGUAUAUGUUUGCAAGAAGAACAGGUAAAGAACUAAUCACCUUUUGUUUUCGUCGAUAAACUGUUGUAUAUAUUUGUAUUUCUUUUUUUCUCCAAAAAAAAACCCUACAUCGUUUCUACAUCGUUUUAAUUCGGGCUUUUUAUAGCCACUGUACAUAGUAUUUUACAUAUUUAAUGUUAUUUCCUGCCAUAUUUGUGUUGCCUCUGUCGUUCUUCUUUCCCCUUUUGCAGGUACCAGCGAGGAGAUUUAGCAAUGAACGAACGCUGACAACGGCACACCGGCGUUGAUUCGGGCGUCGACCACGGCAUGAUUCAAAGCCUGGAAUCAUGGCCUGGAACCACGGCAUUGAUAGUGGGUAACUGGAAUGACGCGAGACGAACAAACGCGUUGAUUGAAGUGUUUGCGGCGCCUAAG
rnacentral:lncRNA from 1 species